UUUAAUUUUUUAUCAAAUAUCAAAUUGGGUUUGAGCCCAAUAAGAAAAACGUGACUUAGGUAAAAUAGGGGGUGCAGGGAACAAUUAGUAUUUGUUCUGCCAUGAUGGGCUCAGCAUUGGCCCAGACAGAAAAUAAAAUAAAAAAACAGAUGGGGGGUGGGGUGAGUGAAAAUGGAGGUGCGGAAGUUAAUCUAAACCUAAAAAAAACUAAAGGAAAAACAAAACAAAAAAACCUAAGUCUAACCCUAAUUUCAGAAACCCUUUAGGGGUUCUUCUCAGACUCUCUCAUUUCUCACAUUCACUCUUGGGAAAACCUAGAGUUUCUCUCAAGGAAAAACGACCACCCCAUGAGCCCCCUCCUGCAAGGUUGUCGUGGCCUCCUCCAGUCCUUGCACAUCCGACCACCUCCUGACCCCAAAGCUUCACCGGAAACACCAGGGGUCGCCGGAACAUUGCUAGCCGUGGCAUCCCUGACUUUUCCCCUUCCUCUCGCUUACUCAAAGCAAAUGUCAUCACUGGAACCGAGUGCCUCUGCCGUUCUCCGAUAGCCACCAUCACCUAGAACCGGUCACCGUCAUCGUCAAUCCCUCGCGCCGUCAAAGCCAUCGUGACCUCUAGACGUUCAACCACGGCAGCCACCAUGCCGUCGAUUGUUCGCGCACGGCGUCGCCUACGUCGUCCGAAUCAACUCCGACCACAACUCCGAUGAAACUCAACCUUCCUUGCUUCGCAAUUCUUGUCGUCGCGCCCCCUUGCUCCAAGUUCGUUCAUCGCAAGUGAGAACAAAACGUUCUCACUCCCGCAACUUCCCCUCCCGAUUCAUGGUGAUCCCGACCAUUGAUACUACCAACUCUGUAUCAUCUCCAUGUACUACUGCUUCUAUUUAUUUAUUAUUUUUUUUUUAUUGAAAGUUUGUUAUAUCCAAAAAAAAUGUGAUGAGAAACAGGAUUGUCAUAUCAUAUGGGUUGAAAAUGCUGUCUGAGAUUGCUCCUGUUUGUAUUGUUUCUGUUUUGGGUAAUUUGAAAUAGGGAUAUGAUGAAUUUAGGGCCAGGUUCUUCUGUUGGGAUGAAACGGCUAUGAAGUUCUUCACGGUGUAAGUGAAGGUCGACGAUGUAACGGGGUUGGGCUGUGUGCGAGAGGGGUUUUUUUCUUUUGCUGGUUUGGUCUUCUCUUCUUUUUUUUUGUUAAUACAGGGGCGUUGGUCUUGGUGUAACAAGAGAACUGAAACUGGGGGUUGUUGGUGUUAGGGCCGUGUGUGAAGAUUAUUUGAUGGUUUUGAUGGUGGAGAGAACUCAAAGUGAUACGGGAUAAUGGUGGUAAUACCAAAUAAUGAUGGAGAUCAUCAAUGGAGGAUAAAAAAAAUGCAGGGAUUUUCACAUCAUAACCAUGCUCAGACCCAACAACAUCAAUGCUAAGAUAAAGAAAUAUAAUGCAGCAAGCAUUGAUGACAUGAACAUAGUCAAUCGCCAAUAAUCCUCUCACUCGUAAUACUGUUCCUCUCUUCUGCCUCUGUUUUCUGUUUUUUUCUUUGUUUAUGGUUUUUGAAUAAGGUAUAGAGUGAUGGAUGUUUGUUGGGAUCGUUACGGGUGUGGUCAUGGGGGAAUCCAGAUUGUGUGUGAUGUAUGCCUGUUGAAAUCUGUUGAUGUCUGUGAGUUUGUUGGAGGUGGUCAUUGGUUAAGCAUAGCAGAGUGGUCAAAAAAAUGUGUAUUCUCAUCUUCUCAUUUUUUACAACAAACCUUUUUUCUUCUUU